UACGAAGGGGGCUAGCGUUGUUCGGAAUUACUGGGCGUAAAGCGCACGUAGGCGGAUAUUUAAGUCAGGGGUGAAAUCCCGGGGCUCAACCCCGGAACUGCCUUUGAUACUGGGUAUCUCGAGUUCGGGAGAGGGAUGCAGAAUUCCAGGUGUAGCGGUGAAAUGCGUAGAUAUCUGGAGGAAUACCGGUGGCGAAGGCGGCAUCCUGGACCGACAUUGACGCUGAGGAGCGAAAGCUAGGGGAGCAAACGGG
rnacentral:rRNA from 1 species